AUAUCACAGAUUCUAGCGGGACAUUGCCCUUUUUUUAGCAUUUGGGAAUGUCUCGUCCCAUUUAGACCCAUGUUCCAGCUCUUCCAUCUCCAUUGGCCAGGCUCAGAAGAGGAGAAGCUUUUCUAUUCAAAUCUGCGCACACGUGCAUGAGAGAUAUCUGACAAGGCACAGUACUGGAACUCAAGGUGGUUAUGACUUAAUAGCACAUAACAAAGAUAACAGCAACAUACGGACACGGUGAGAGACUGAAUGCAUGCUUAACAUAAAGUUUAGUACUUCUGUAAAAUAUGAUAUCUUGAUAAGAGCCCAUAAAUAAGCUUAAAAUAAAUAUUGGAGCCCAGCUAAUAUGACUUAAAAAAAUUCAUCCCACUUCCGCCUUGGUUCAGGUGAAACAAAAGCAAGAUUGGUUUUUUUUUAUAGCUAUCAAAAGCCUUGCUCACAUCUUGUAAAUUCCUAGAAAUGCUUUCCUCCAUUGUGUCAAACCAUUUGUAAUGUGAUCUUCCUCUUUCCUAACUCCCCUCAUAUUUUCUGGGCAUUAUAAUUUUUGCAGAGAGUCAUGUUGUUUUAUAAUAUAUCUAAAGUCUGAUAGCCCCUCUUAGUCAUUUCGGUAUCUAGGAAGAAUUUUCAUAGACUAAUGUGUUUUUAUAAGCCCAUGUUAUUGAUAGAAUUGUCCCCUAGCACCACAUUUCAAAUGAGUUGAUUUCCCCCUACCCCCUGCUUUCUUUACUGUCCACUCUCACAACCAUAUAUAGAAGCAUGAAAUGGUAUGACAUGGUUGAUCCCGACUUUAGCAUUUAAGCAUAUGUUUUUGCACUUGAGGUUCUCAUCUAGUUCCUUUAUAGAUGACUUCCUCUUUUUCUGAUUUCUUCAGUACAUCCUAGAACAGCGCAUCUGUACAAUUUAAAAAAAUUAGAAAGAGAAAACUGUGGAAUAGGAAACACUGAUGUUAUUGCUACUCUAAUGUUUUUGUGUAGUUGGGCAAGAGAAUACCAUUUUAGGACAGUAUAAACCAUUCUCUUCCUAUAAUAUGGUUUUAUUUAAUCUGCUGCUCUCCAGACAUGUUUAGUUAUAUUCCCCAUUACCCCAUUUAGCUUAUUAGCUGGGUUAGUGGGAAUUCUAGUCCAACACAUCUUGAGGCAUUCUGGGAGUUCUUUUUUAAAGCUUUGCACUUGACCCUUAAACUGUUUAUGUCGUUUUCUAAGAAACUUGCUAAAUAAAUAGACCUCAACAGAUUGUGUGCCUUUUUUUCUGAAAUUACUUUAUCAAGUGCUUCACUCUUUCCUACUGCUUAAUAUUUACAUUACUCUAGAAAUAAUUUUUCCUUUGCAUUUCAGACACCAGUGAUACUUCUCAUUGCCUUGAGCUCAUUGUAUGAGCAGAUGUCAUCACAGUCCUUUUAAUUAAAACCUUAACUGCAGCAUCAGAAAUUUAUUCAUAUACUAGCAUGGUGGCAGACUGACAUCAGAAAGAAUAAUUAGCUAUAUUUUUUUGUAUGCUGUGAACUAUGUCUAUAUAACAAAUUACUAAACUAGGAUUUUAGCUGCUUUCACUAGCUGCUAACUAAGCAGAAACAGUAGUAAUUACUUAAAAAGAUAUAUUCUUGCUUAUUCUUAAGUAGUAAAUUAAAUCUAGGUUGUGUUUCUAGAACUUUGGGUCCCAUUUUAGGUGAAAGGUGAGAUGAUGUAAAUCAAACAAACAAACAAGUAUAAGAAACCCCAGAUAGGAUAGUGGAUGCUGUGAUCCAAAGUAUUCAUCUCACAUUUAAAGAGCAGCAUGGUUAUUAUUUCUGGGUGGAUUUGCUACUGGUUGUCAUACAUGGGAGCCUAUACAGUGGGUCCUUGGUAUACGUGGGGGAUCUGUUCUGGACACCCCCCCGUGUAUGCCAAAAAACGUGUAUGCUCAAGUCCCAUAUGGUUGGCACCUAAUGAAGGCUGCUGGUGAUAAGCAUUUCUGGAAGGAAGAUUUGGGAGGAGAGAAAGGAUGCUAAUUUAGACCCAUUUUAUUAUUAUAUGCACAAAACAGAUUAUUAACUGAAGGUUGCAUGCAUCUCAUCUGUAGGUAUUUAUACUAGAAGAAUGCUCUUUUUCUGUUAUAAUUCCAUAUUUUAAAAUCUCAUUUUGUAUAACGUAUGGCAACAGUAUGAUUCAGAUGCUACCUUGUCUAGUUAUCUGCUGUUUGUGCAUUUUGUGUCUUUGUAAUGGUCUGAGGACUAGACACAUAUAAACUGAAAUGAAAUGAGAAUAAGUGAUAUGGGCUAGUUUCUGAUUUUCUGCAUAACUUCUGAAGCCAUCUUAAUAUGUGAAGCCCUGAGUUGAGUUCCCAAUUCACUGGUUGUGAUAAGCAUAUGUUGUGUGACCACCAAGCAUUGACUAUCUGAAAAUAAUUUUAUUUUAAUGUGUUACUCAGCAAUUUAGUCCCCCGCCCCAAUCUUUGGUUUGUUAAAUCAAUAAGCCAAGCAUCUCCCUGGUUUAAUGGUAUAAAAUGGAUUAAAAUGUCCUGUGAUUAAAUUUCUGCCACAGAGCAAGAUAGAGCUGUUAUGCACGAAUGUUGGAGAAGAAUAGGAUGGAAUAUUGUAAUUGGAUAACAAUGCCUUAAAAAGCUCUUCUCUUUUAAGAUUCGGAAGGGUGAUAAGAAGAAAGUUAAAAGACAAUUUAAGUUCUCAUAUUUCAUCAUGAGAGGCAGUGUAAUGGAGUCAGCAGGGCCAGACUGUCCAGACUGAAGAAGCGGGGACAGGACCGAAGCUGAACCACCAGACGGAGGCACCUGGGGAAGUGAUGGACACAAUGGGGUCUCAAGCACAGGGAAAAGGCCGUGAGUCAAAUAAGCUCUCCCUCCAACCACCUGGCUCAGCUGGAACAGCACCAUCGCACUGAAGUGUCCAGGAUAAAGGUCCUGUUACAGCUGAUGGGCCAGGAUGGUGCAGAAAAGAUCAGGGAGACCUGAACAGAAACUGCAACACGCAAAGCUGCGAGGAAACCAGUUGCCUACCUGGCCCACUUGGGUGAGAGUGAUAAUUCAAAGGAGAAAAUCAACAUAACAAACCAGAGAAAGGUGCCAUCAUCCAUCCCAGAGGAUGCACCUACAGAAAAGACAUUUCAGUCUGAGGCUUCUACGAAGGUGGAGAGACAGAGAGCUGUCAUGACAGAGGAACAGGGUGGUCCAAAAUCAGACCUUGAAAAAGAAAGGCCCGAGCCAAUGAGGAAUCAACAUGCAUGACUGUGAGACCCCAAAUCCCAUUCUUUGGUACUUGGUGGAUAGCUGCACUGUUUCCCCUGAGACAGGUGUGGGGAACAAGGAGAUUAGGACAAACUAUGGGGGCGGGGAGAGGUUGUCACAGUUAUGUUGUUCUCAGAAAAGCCAGGUUUUGCUGGGUCCGGUGAGAGACCAGAAAAAAAAGAGAGCCCUGCCCAGAAACUCUAAAGAGACAACCUGAUCUGCACAGCAGUAUAUACCAUAGGUUUUGAUACUGAGAGAUUGGAUUUAAAAGAGGUGAACAAAAUCAUUGACACAUGUUUGAGUCCCAAAGAAUACUCCGAGUCUCCUCAGACAGACUGGGAUUGCAAAAAAUUGACACCCAUGAAAUUGGUGACCAGAAGUCCAGAAGGGCGGGUUGGCAAUAUAAAGAUCAAAGCCUCCAGAGACUGAAAUUAGAUAUAGAUAGAUACUAGAUACUAUAUUACACAUGAUAUUUUAGGUUAAGUUGAUUUAUAAUUUGUUUAAACUUUUAUACUAUUUACUGUACUACUAUUUAUACUAUUUUUUGAUUGCUGGAGUUGUGCUUUAUUUUAAGAGUUAAACUUAUGGAUUGUGAUAUAUUUUAUAGAUAAUAACACACGUUAAGAGGUUUAAAUAACCAAUUUGCUUUAUGUUUAAUAUAAGCUAUUGUUUUAUUUAGAUUUAGAUGCCAAG